rnacentral:lncRNA from 1 species
GCCACCUGUUUUCUCGUCCUCGCCAUCGUCCUCCUUCUCCCGCUCCUGCUAGCUUCCUAUCCAUGUGUGGCCGCCGCACAUGGCCCACCGCAUCAUGCUCCAGGUACAUAUAGUUCCCUUUGGUUGUUUCCGAAUUUGUGCUUCGUUCUUUGUAUGUAUAGAUGGGCCCAUCGAUGUAAUUAUGGUGAUGAUGCUAGGUGGUGACGUUGGUGUGUGGGGUCAAACUGGCGGGCUGCAUCGUCAAGGAGGAAAGGUGUCAGGGAUGGGAGCCGCGAGGCGCUUGGGACAGAGGAUACCGCUAAAGGAUCCUCCCUCACCAAUCCCUAAUGAAAACUCGGGGGUGGUGAUUCCCCUGCUGCCGCUGCCGAUCAAUUAAUAAGUGUUGGGAGUCUGGGCACGAGCAUAUGCCAUGGUGACUUCCGUGCACCUCUAGUCUCUUACUAAUGUGUUAGAAGAAUAAUCUUGCUGUUGUGAAAUAAGUUGUCAUGCUUCAAAGUCUUAAAAUGUAUUGUUCACUUCUCUAUAUUCAAUUUGGACUUCUGAGGUAAAUGGCGGAAAAAAUAAAUUUAAUAUAGUCAGAGGCAAGUUGUCUCAUGCUAAGAUCCGGUUGACUAGAUAGUAAUAAGUUAAUUAUAGCAUACAUAUAUAAUUUUCCUGUGUGAAACAUUUUUUUUGAUAAUGAUGAACAUUAAACUAGCGGGUGUAAUCACUGCUGCCGUCGACUGACGAAAAGCGCCGGGGCUCCGCGCGGGCACGCGAUGAUACUUGCCAAUCUGUAAUCAUUCUCCAAGAACCAUCGUACACACAAAA